rnacentral:rRNA from 1 species
AUUGAACGCUGGCGGCAUGCUUUACACAUGCAAGUCGAACGGUAACAGGUUAAGCUGACGAGUGGCGAACGGGUGAGUAAUGCAUCGGAACGUGCCCGAUCGUGGGGGAUAACGCAGCGAAAGCUGCGCUAAUACCGCAUACGAUCUGAGGAUGAAAGCGGGGGACCGUAAGGCCUCGCGCGAUCGGAGCGGCCGAUGUCAGAAUAGGUAGUUGGUGGGGUAAAGGCCCACCAAGCCGACGAUCUGUAGCUGGUCUGAGAGGACGACCAGCCACACUGGGACUGGGACACGGCCCAGACUCCGACGGGAGGCAGCAGUGGGGAAUUUUGGACAAUGGGCGAAAGCCUGAUCCAGCAAUGCCGCGUGCAGGAAGAAGGCCUUCGGGUUGUAAACUGCUUUUGUACGGAGCGAAAAGGUCCUUUCUAAUACAAGGGGCUCAUGACGGUACCGUAAGAAUAAGCACCGGCUAACUACGUGCCAGCCGCCGCGGUAAAAC